rnacentral:rRNA from 1 species
GAUGAACGCUGGCGGCGUGCUUAACACAUGCAAGUCGAACGGAAAGGCUCCUGCUUGCAGGGGUACUCGAGUGGCCAACGGGUGAGUAACACGUGGGUGAUCUGCCCUGCACUUCGGGAUAAGCCUGGGAAACUGCGUGUAAUACCGGAUAGGACCAUGGUUUGGAUGCCAUUGUGGAAAGUUCUUUCGGUGUGGGGUGAGCUCGCGCCCCGUCAGCUUGUUGGUGGGGUAAUGGCCUACCAAGGCGUCGACGGGUAGCCGGCCUGAGAGGGUGUACGGCCACAUUCGUACUGAGAUACGUCGCAGACUCCUACGGGAGGCAGCAGUGGGGAAUAUUGCACAAUGGGCGCAAGCCUGAUACAGCGACGCCGCGUGGGGGAUGACGGCCUUCGGGUUGUAAACUCCUUUCGCUAGGGACGAAGCGCAAGUGACGGUACCUGGAGAAGAAGCACCGGCUAACUACGUG